rnacentral:rRNA from 1 species
GAUGAACGCUGACAGAAUGCUUAACACAUGCAAGUCUACUUGAUCCUUCGGGUGAUGGUGGCGGACGGGUGAGUAACGCGUAAAGAACUUGCCCUCGCAGUCUGGGACGAACAAUUUGGUAAACGAAUGCUAAUACCGGAUAUUAUGUGAGUUUCGCAUGAAAUUACAUAUGAAAGCUAUAUGCGCUGCAGGAGAGCUUUGCGUCCUAUUAGCUAGUUGGUGAGGUAACGG